ACAACACGUGCGCUGCAAAUGCCAAAACACAUUCAAAUUCAGAAAAACACCUGCAAAUUCAGAAAAAAACAUGCAAACUCAGAAAACACCUGCAUCGACUUCAUAACACGAGCAAAUAGGGAAACGAACUGCAAGUUAUGACAACGGAAAUGUGUCCCGGGGGAUCAUAAUCAGUGACGGACCCAUAUCCGGUUGGCGGUUCUUUUCAAUUACGAAGGUGUUAAGUCGUUUGAUUGUGCUACAAGAGAUUGACAUGUUCUGCCCGUUCUGUGCGGUGCAACUGGGGGAUGCUCCCAAGUUUUGCCCGUCAUGUGGGCAGAAUGUGGGGUUCCUUACACAGCUCCCAUCAACUCCAUCCACCUCGUCAAGCGAAGGCUGUGGGCCUACAGUUGAGGCCUCUGAGGAAGACCUUAUCCGGGACCUCUUCAGAAAGGGCCACUCCUACACCGUUAUCUGCGAUUUUUUGGAGACAAAACACGGGAUAGUAAUGAGCCUGAAAACUCUCAAAAGAAGGCUGAAACAGCUCAACCUUAGUCGGAGGGCAAGUUAUGCUCCGAUGGAGACUUUGAACUCUGCCAUCAGGACUGAACUGAAUGGCUCAGGACAGCUUUUGGGCUACAGGGCUAUGUGGCAGACCCUGCAACAGACGCAUUCGUUGACCGUCAGACGAGAUAAUGUUACGCAAGCACUCAGAUUCCUCAAUCCAGAAAGAGUAUCUCUCCGUCAUAGGCGCCGAUUUUUCAGGCGAUCCUAUUGCGCUGCAGGACCCAAUCAGGUGUGGCACGCGGAUGGAUACGACAAACUUAAGCCCUUUGGGAUUGCCAUCAGUGGCUGCAUCGAUGGGUAUUCCAGGCGGCUUAUGUGGCUCAGUAGUGGCAGCACCAACAACAACCCUGCAGUAAUAGCACAAUAUUACCUGCAGUGUGUUUCGAACUGUGGCGUAGUUCCAGCACGACUUCGACAGACUGUGGGACAGAAAACGGAGACAUGGCUGCCAUCCAAUGUUCAUUAAGAGAGGACCACACCGAUGAAUUUGCGGGACCUCUCAGCCACAUGUAUGGCACUUCAACUGCCAAUCAAAGGAUUGAAAGCUGGUGGUCCAUUUUCAGGAAACAGAGGACACAGUUCUGGAUGGAUCUAUUUAGUGACCUGAGAGACAGGCACUACUUCAACGGCACCCAUGAACACAAGUGCCUUGUACGGUAUGUCUUCCUGGGCAUUUUUCAGAAAGAGCUUGAUGAGCACCGAGAGCUUUGGAACAACCACACCAUCAGGCCUGUCCGUCCGUCUCUCUGUCCAUCUGGAAAACCGGAGACCAUGUACCACCUGCCUCACAGGUUUGGUGGAAGGGAUUGUGGAUUCCAAGUGGAUCCCCAAGUGUUACAGGAGUUCAAAGACCUUCUGCCACCUACAAACAGUUUGUGUGGAGAUGAUUAUCUCCAAGCAUAUUUUGCCAACUUGGAGAGACAGAGCCAGCUCGCUCCACCCAUCAACUGGCCAGUUGCUGUUGACAAUUACCUUGCACUUAAGGAGAUGGCUGGACUUUAGAAUUGCCUUGUUGGAUGGUGUGCUCGCUUUGAACUGGGACGCCCCACCUCCUCAUGCUUGACCAGCAGCACAUUCCCCCAGUGUUGGACAGUAGUUCAUUGGACUAAAUAUGUCAAUAAUAUGGACAUCGUUUUUUUUCUAUUCAGUUAUUUUGUUCAUGUUCCAUUUAUUUUAGGCGACAGUGGAUCAGCGUUCCGGCACAUUAAGCAGUACCUGCUUAGUAAGCAGGGAAGCUAGACUCAAUGAGUGUAGCUAUGCCACUUUUUUUUCUUUCAUACAGCACUG
ensembl:lncRNA